AGAGCGAACGCUGGCGGCAGGCCUAACACAUGCAAGUCGAACGGACCCUUCGGGGUUAGUGGCGGACGGGUGAGUAACACGUGGGAACGUGCCUUUAGGUUCGGAAUAGCUCCUGGAAACGGGUGGUAAUGCCGAAUGUGCCCUUCGGGGGAAAGAUUUAUCGCCUUUAGAGCGGCCCGCGUCUGAUUAGCUAGUUGGUGGGGUAAUGGCCCACCAAGGCUACGAUCAGUAGCUGGUCUGAGAGGAUGACCAGCCACAUUGGGGACUGAGACACGGCCCAAACUCCUACGGGAGGCAGCAGUGGGGAAUCUUGCGCAUGGGC
rnacentral:rRNA from 1 species